rnacentral:rRNA from 1 species
GACCGGAGUGGACGCAUCACUGGUGUUCGGGUUGUCAUGCCAAUGGCACUGCCCGGUAGCUAAAUGCGGAAGAGAUAAGUGCUGAAAGCAUCUAAGCACGAAACUUGCCCCGAGAUGAGUUCUCCCUGACCCUUUAAGGGUCCUGAAGGAACGUUGAAGACGACGACGUUGAUAGGCCGGGUGUGUAAGCGCAGCGAUGCGUUGAGCUAACCGGUACUAAUGAACCGUGAGGCUUAACCUUAC